AUACGGAGGGUGCAAGCGUUAUCCGGAAUCACUGGGCGUAAAGGACGCGUAGGCGGGUUGGCAAGUCAGAUGUGAAAUCCUACAGCUUAACUGCAGAACUGCAUUUGAAACUGCUAACCUAGAGUAUGGGAGGGGGAGAUGGAAUUAGUGGUGUAGGGGUAAAAUCCGUAGAUAUCACUAGGAAUACCGAAAGCGAAGGCGAUCUCCUGGAACAUAACUGACGCUAAGGCGUGAAAGCGUGGGGAGCAAACAGGAUUAGAAACCCUAGUAGUCC
rnacentral:rRNA from 1 species